rnacentral:rRNA from 1 species
AGAUUGAACGCUGGCGGAAUGCUUUACACAUGCAAGUCGAACGGCAGCACGGGGGCAACCCUGGUGGCGAGUGGCGAACGGGUGAGUAACACAUCGGAACGUGCCCAGUCGUGGGGGAUAACUACGCGAAAGCGUAGCUAAUACCGCAUACGAUCUACGGAUGAAAGCGGGGGUACUCGCAAGGGCCUCGCGCGAUUGGAGCGGCCGAUGGCAGAUUAGGUAGUUGGGUAGGGGUAAAGGCUCACCAAGCCUGCGAUCUGUAGCUGGUCUAGGAGAGGACGUACCAGACCCACACGUGGGGACUGACGACACGGCCCAGACUCCGUACGGGACGGCGA